GGAUAAUGAUUUACCGGCCAAAACCCCACAUUCAUGAAGUCAUUUACUGGCAAUCUUGAACAAGGUUUGAAAGGAUUCACAUGUCACCUGGCCCCUCCAUUGUCUUCUUUUAACGUUAUUGUGCAAGAAAAAACAUGGGAUUAAAGAAUGAACACUACCACGAUUUGUCACUGAGUACCGAUUGUUUGUUCAGUCUGAUAAGAGGAAUUCCAGGAUCCCUAGAGAAAACUCGGUUUCCGUUCAGAUCUGUUGCUCCGUAUGCCGCCAGAGGAGGAUCCAUUACAAAUCUACAUGAUCUCCAUGCUGGACUACUUAACUCAACACCAUAGUACACCAAAUGAUCUGAAAUACUUUUCCCUGAGACAGACCUGCUACAAGAUGGGUCUUCACCAGAAUCAUCACAAACCUUU
rnacentral:misc_RNA from 1 species